rnacentral:rRNA from 1 species
GAUGAACGCUGGCGGCGUGCCCAAUACAUGCAAGUCGAACGGGGAGUAGCAAUACUCUUAGUGGCGAACGGGUGAGUAACGCGUUGGUACCUGCCCCGAAGCGGGGGAUAACGGACCGAAAGGUCCGCUAAUACCCCAUGUGCUCGGUAACGAGUAAAGGUGAAAACCACUUUGGGAGGGGCAUGCGUCCCAUCAGCUAGUUGGUAAGGUAACGGCUUACCAAGGCGAUGACGGGUAGGGGACCUGAGAGGGUGGCCCCCCACAAUGGAACUGAAACACGGUCCAUACACCUACGGGUGGCAGCAGUAGGGAAUAUUGGUAAUGGGCGCAAGCCUGAACCAGCAACGCCGCGUGUGCGAUGACGGCCUUCGGGUUGUAAAGCACUUUUGACUGGGACGAGGAAGGACGGUACCGGUCGAAUCAGCCUCGGCUAACUACGUG